CCUACGGGUGGCACCAGUGGGGAAUUUUGGACAAUGGGCGAAAGCCUGAUCCAGCAAUGCCGCGUGCAGGAUGAAGGCCUUCGGGUUGUAAACUGCUUUUGUACGGAACGAAAAGCUUCGGGUUAAUACCCUGGAGCCAUGACGGUACCGUAAGAAUAAGCACCGGCUAACUACGUGCCAGCAGCCGCGGUAAUACGUAGGGUGCAAGCGUUAAUCGGAAUUACUGGGCGUAAAGCGUGCGCAGGCGGUUUUGUAAGACAGAGGUGAAAUCCCCGGGCUCAACCUGGGAACUGCCUUUGUGACUGCAAGGCUAGAGUACGGCAGAGGGGGAUGGAAUUCCGCGUGUAGCAGUGAAAUGCGUAGAUAUGCGGAGGAACACCGAUGGCGAAGGCAAUCCCCUGGGCCUGUACUGACGCUCAUGCACGAAAGCGUGGGGAGCAAACAGGAUUAGAUACCCUGGUAGUC
rnacentral:rRNA from 1 species